AGUGAACGCUGGCGGUAGGCCUAACACAUGCAAGUCGAACGGCAGCACAGGAGAGCUUGCUCUCUGGGUGGCGAGUGGUGUACGGGUGAGGAAUACAUCGGAAUCUACUCUGUCGUGGGGGAUAACGUAGGGAAACUUACGCUAAUACCGCAUACGACCUACGGGUGAAAGCAGGGGAUCUUCGGACCUUGCGCGAUUGAAUGAGCCGAUGUCGGAUUAGCUAGUUGGCGGGGUAAAGGCCCACCAAGGCGACGAUCCGUAGCUGGUCUGAGAGGAUGAUCAGCCACACUGGAACGGCAAAAAGGUCCAGACUCCUACGGGAGGCACACAAAAGCAAUAUUGGACAAUGGGCGCAAGAAGGUUCCAGCCAUACCGCGUGGGUGAAGAAGGCCUUCGGGUUAUACACAAAGGGAGUUGGGAAAGAAAUCCAGAGGGAUAAUACCCGGUUGGGAUGACGGUACCCAAAGAAUAAGCACCGGCUAACUUCGUGCCAGCCGCCGCCGUAA
rnacentral:rRNA from 1 species